AGAUCAUGGUGAGCAUCAGUGCACCAUAACUUAGAAGUAAUAAAUAAUUCAUCGCGAUUUUUAACGAGGCCUAGCUCUAAAGCUUUUGACACAGCUUGGCCUAGAGGUUCUUCAGUAUUGUAGAAAGCAGCAGUAUCAAAAUGUCUAUAGCCAAUCUCAAUGGCAUCAAGCAAAGUUUGUUGAGGAGGAAUUGUUCCUGUUCCAAAUCCUAUUGUUGGCAUCGUUUUCCCUGAAUUUAGUACCACCUCAGGAAUUUUCUUAUCUGCCAUAUUUUUUGUGUUGGUUUAAGGCACAAGGUUUACACAAUUCACAAUUGUCUCUUAUUUUUGUAGUAUGUUACUAUGUUAGUUUUGAGACUUGAGUUGUGCUAUAAAUAAUAGUUCAAGACACAAAGAAGAUAUUGUUGAUUGUUUAUUAUUGACUAUUUGCACCCUAAUGACCCAAGGAAUAACUGGAGCAGAUUCAAACUUCUAUAUUCUAGUACAUUCUAGUUUUACUUUGUGAUGUCACUGCUUUGCUGUUUCUUCUUUGCUUCUUUUAAAUCUAGAUAAGGGACCAACUUGAAACUUUUAUAAGAUAAAGGACCAACUUGAAACCUAAAAUAAAGAUAAGGGACCAAAAGUGUAAUUAAGCCUUUUUUUUUUACAGUAAAAUAAGUUUAUGCUCUUGAUGACAGUAAAUUAUAUGAUGUUUUUAGGUACUAUUUAGGUUAGUUUUUAGUAGUUUUAGUAGUGAUUGAAGAUCAAAUGCAAGCAAAUACCUAAAGUUAUGAAGUUACUUGACCAAGAAGCAAGUAAAGUGGAAAAUGCAUAAAAAAGUGGAAAAAAGGAAGAAAUACGCUGAAUAUACCACAUCGUACCAAAAACGCCAUAAAUGGAGUUACAAGUAUCGGAUCGAGUCAUGUGACCCUGCGUUGGAAAGAUAAGACAAAGAACUACAAUUUUCAUGUUAAAGCAAAAUUCUAAUUCUGAAGUCUCAUUGUGUCCAUGAUGGAUUCAUCGUGGCCACGAUGAAGUGAAAACUUGGCCGCAAGGAGAAAAGAACAAACUGUGUGCUGAUCAAACAAGAAAACACACUCAUCGUAGCUACGAUGGAUCCCAUCUCGCCACGAUGGAAAAAGUCCAAANNNNNNNNNNNNNNNNNNNNNNNNNNNNNNNNNNNNGAACUAUAAAGUCUCUAAGGAGCAAAGGAGGAGGAACAAGGAGGGCUAAGGAUCUCUCAAGGGAAGGAGACUUCCCCAUCAUAGGGAGACGAAACUUUCUCCGCAAGGAAUCGAGGUUAUUUUUAUGCAUGUUUUCUUUAUUGUUCAAUAUUCUUAAUAAUAGCAAGUCCCUUUAGGUUAGGUUGAGUAGAUUACAUCCCUUAUGAAUGUUUGAGACAUGUAAUUUGGUUCGAAAAAAACUAUUUACAAUUACUAUUCAGUUAUUAUCUGUUAUUGUCUCUGUUUAUUUAUACACUUUCAUAUAUGAACGCGCGCAUAUUUUGUUAGCACCUAGAAUUGAAGUGGAUCCCGUGACACAUCUGAAACUCCGAAUUAAAGAGAUAAUAUAACCAACCAAUAUGAGACCAUUAAAUUCAGUAUCUGAGGUUAGAUUUGUGGAUUAAGAGUCGCACAUAGUUAAAUUCUUACAAUUAGGCAAACAAGGUAGGAAAACACGUGACAACUUGUUAAAGGUAGAAAACGUGACAAACAAGGGGCCCUAUCAGCGGUUGGCUAUACUUUCUUCAGUUGCAAUAGGAUAAGGAAUGGUAGCACUGAACUUAUCUAAUAGAAAUUAACCACCAGAUGAUAAAUGAAUAGUAAGCAGAUAUAGCGUCAGUUACCGAGCAGGAAUAAGGGAGAGAUUCGAAAGCACUUAACCUACUUUUAUCAUUUUGAACUCUUUCUUUUAUCUUUAGUCUUAUACUAUCUAACUUUUGUCUCAAAAUCUUUUUCAAACAAAUAAAACGAAAGCAAAAUUAUCUUAAUUCCUAAAUGAAACUAGUUGCCUUGGCAGGAUCCCUAUGGAUACAAACUCAUUCUAGACACCUAAAGUGUAAAUUAUUACUCGCCGAUAGACUAAUCCACUUGCCAGUCUGCGGUCAGCUCUCAAUAAAUAUUUUAAAUUUACCAACAUGUUGUAGAAGUAGAAGGGGUGGAUACUUUAGUUCUUUAAUCAUUUGAUUUUGGGUUCAAUCUUUACCCUGAGUGUAUUGGACAUUAAAUUUGUUUAUCUCUUGGCUGGAAUUCGAAUUUUGGCUCGCCUUAUCGUAAGAGUCUAGCCUCUUCUAUUUUAUUUUUUUUGUUUACAAUGGAGCUGAAAAUCGAACUCAAAACUUCUAGCAUACUACUCAAAUCCUUCACCACUAGACCAAACCUAGUGACUUGUGUAGCCUCUUCUAUUAGAUUUAGCUUUUGUUCAUUCAUAUAAUAAUUCUUUAAUUGAUAAUUAAUUGUUACUUUUAUGAAUUUGUAAACUCUUGUAUUAUUUUUUGAGUUAUCAUAUUAGUUUGACUUACUCCGUUGUUUAUAAAAUACAUUUUAAGUCUUCAAUUAAAAGAUUGGGUGUUGAUGAAGACUAUUCAAUCAAAUUAUCAAAAGGACUUUCUGUGCUCCUCACAAAGUACUUGUCGUGGAAGAUGUUACGACAAAGAAAGGUUGAUUUUUAAAGUAGACAAUAUUGAAUUUAAGCUCCUUUAAGACCAAUGACUACUAAUAAUAGUAAUGUGGAAAUAUGUAUCAACAAUUGAAGAAAUUUCCUUCAGCUUUCAUAAUAUGAUUUUAACACCGCAAUUGAAGAAAUUUACUAUGACAUUAUGAAAAUUGUAUUAGGAAGGAUUAAUUAAUUUGUGUAUUAAUAAGGAGUAAAAGAAGUACUCAAAUCCUUACAAUACAACAAAAUCUCUUAAAUACUAAGCAAACAUUUUAAGGGAUUGACACACUAAUCGGAAUACAAAUAGGGACAAUGUCUACCCGAACGGCCAAUAAACCAAAACCAAGAAAUUAGCUUAAUUUGAUCCACCAACUGACCAUAAUCGGCUAUAGCACCCCUAAAGACAAUGUUAAUACGCAACCUUCAAGCACACCAAGUUGUUGCAAACCAAAUCAAACUUAGGACCUACUUGUUUUCUUCAGCAGAAACGGUAAUUUUUACUGCUCUAAGUUUAGCCUUAAAUUUCAGACGGUACUGGCACAAGGUCAUUUUUUAAUUUACAGAACUUAGAUCAAAUAAGUACUUUAAAAGAACUAAAAAGAGAUAAAGAAGAAUUAGUACGCUCAAGGAUAAACUUGUACAUGUGAAUAUGUGAUUAACUCAAAGAUUAAAUUGUAAAGUAAUUAUUUCAGCACCUAAGUAAUCAUGUAUGCGUGAAUCAUGAUAGCUUAGGCUCACAAGAGAAAUGAUUCAUCACACUUUUUGACCCAUGCAUCAAUUAUUUAAACACAAUUUCACUCAAACAUCGUCGUCCCACAGCUCUUCCAAGGAUUUGUAAGGUCCAUUUUCAGAUACAAACAUUUCUGCCUUUUGAAAUCUGCAUUGAGGAAUCUGAUUGAUUUUGUCUAAAUCUUCCUGGUUCAAUUCCCAAUCAAAUAUUUCAGUGUUUUUUUUCACCCUCUCUUUGUUGAAGCUUUUUACAAUUGGAGUUACCCCUUGCUCGUAUAUCCAUCUUAGUGCUAUCUGCAUAAUCAAAAACUUUAAUGUAACAGUCAUCUCAAUAUAGUAGUAUAUGUAUUACUUUCGGAAGUUUAAACCGUUAAUCAACUGAACCUGAGCUACACUCUUCUUUCGAGCCUCAGCAAUUNNNNNNNNNNNNNNNNNNNNNNNNNNNNNNNNNNNNNNNNNNNNNNNNNNNNNNNNNNNNNNNNNNNNNNNNNNNNNNNNNNNNNNNNNNNNNNNNNNNNNNNNNNNNNNNNNNNNNNNNNNNNNNNNNNNNNNNNNNNNNGGAAAUAUUUUCAGAAAGAAUAUUGGAUACUAUACGUAUAGGGAAGUAUCAGACACAUAUCGGUAUCAGAUACGUGUCAAAUGUUUUUCUCUACAUCAGAAAUCAAGUAGUACUAAAUUGUUAUACCUGAUUAACUGCAGGUGGAAUUUUGGCAUUUUCUAAGAGUGUGGAGAGCUUUUUGAUACCAAAGUUGCUAACACCAAUAGACUUGGCUAAGCCUAGUCUAUAACACUCUUCCAUAGCUUCCCAUGUUCCUUUUAUGUCAAAAGGAAUUAUAUCCUCACUUUUAAAGUUUAAACCUUCAACAUCUUGUUUAAACCUCACUGGCCAGUGAAUCAAAUAGAGAUCCACAUACUCCAAUCCCAGUUUUCUAAACAAAUUUCAAACCAAAAAAAUAUUAAAAAUUAGGCAAGUAAUAAAAUACAAAUACUUAAAAGAAGAGAAAAAAGGUAAGAGUACUUGCUUGAGAGUGGUUUUGAGAGCUGGGAGAACAAGGUCAUGGUGAGCAUCAGUACACCAUAACUUAGAAGUAAUGAAUAAUUCAUCGCGAUUCUUAACGAGGCCUAGAUCUAAAGCUUUUGACACGGCUUGGCCUAGAGGUUCUUCAGUAUUAUAUAGAGCAGCAGUAUCAAAAUGUCUGUAGCCAAUCUCAAUGGCAUCAAGCAAAGUUUGUUGAGGAGGAGUUGAUCCUGUUCCAAAUCCUAUUGUUGGUAUCUUUUUCCCUGAAUUUAGUACCACCUCAGGAAUU
rnacentral:lncRNA from 1 species